rnacentral:rRNA from 1 species
GGCGUAAAGCGCACGCAAGCGGUCUGUCAAAGUCGGAUGUGAAAUCCCCGGGCUCAACCUGGGAACUGCAUUCGAAACUGGCAGGCUAGAGUCUUGUAGAGGGGGGUAGAAUUCCAGGUGUAGCGGUGAAAUGCGUAGAGAUCUGGAGGAAUACCGGUGGCGAAGGCGGCCCCCUGGACAAAGACUGACGCUCAGGUGCGAAAGCGUGGGGAGCAAACAGGAUUAGAUACCCUGGUAGUCCACGCCGUAAACGAUGUCGACUUGGAGGUUGUGCCCUUGAGGCGUGGCUUCCGGAGCUAACGCGUUUAGUCGACCGCCUGGGGAGUACAGCCGCAAGGUUAUUUCUCAAUUGAAUUGACGGGGGCCCGCACUAGCGGUGGAGCAUGUGGUUUAAUUCGUUGCAACGCGAAGAACCUUACCUACUCUUGACUUCCAAAGAACUUAGCAGAGAUGCUUUGGUGCCUUCGGGAACUCUGAGACAGGUGCUGCAUGGCUGUCGUCAGCUCGUGUUGUGAAAUGUUGGGUUAAGUCCCGCAACGUGCGCAACCCUUAUCCUUUGUUGCCAGCGGACCGGCCGGGAACUCAAAGGGAGUCUGACAGAGAUAAAACUGGAAGAAGGUGGGGAUGACAUCAAGUCAUCAUGGACCUUUAAUGAUGGGAUACACACGUGCUUCAAUGGCAUUGGGAAAGUGUAGCGACCUCACGAUGUGCAAGCGGUCCUCAUAAAGUAUGUCGUUAAACAGGAUUUGAUAUCUGCAACUCAACUCCAUGUAGUCGGAAUCGCUUGAAAUCGAUGAUCCAGUUUGAAUACAGGUGAAAUUACGAUUCCCGGGGCACUUGAUACACACCGCCACGAUCACACACAUGGAUGAUGGGGUUGCAAAAGAAGGUAGGAAGACUAUAACACUACGGGUGGACACAUUGCCAACUUUUGUGAUUCAUGAAAUGGGGGU